GUUUUGUUGAUUCUUUAUGUAUUUAUUCUCAAAGUUUUAACAAAUUUUAAGAAAAAUACUUCAGAUAUAAGCUGUGAACACACAUGUACACAAAACUGUGCAACAUUCGUCAUCAUAUUGUAUCAAUUUGUCGGAGUAUGGCGCUCAUAUUUGUGACAUUGUUUUGUUCGCUUUGGCAACCCUCGUAUAUAUCAGAUGCUGUUCGGCCUCAAAUGCGACUGAAUGAACACUGAUAGUGUUGCCUGGAAUAUGAAAUGAUAUUGACUGAUUGUUCAGUAUAUCAAGGUAGGUACUGUACAUUUAUACUGAAUUUAUUCGAUUUAUUUUCACACGUUGCUUUCACAUUUUCCCAGAGUCUCGGAAAUCACAUUUUCAAUUAAACACAGUUUCACACAUGUAUUAUACAAGACUUCAUUUCACACAUACAGAAAGACUUUUAAUCAAAUUAUGAUAACAGUAUGAUAAUUAUGGUAACAGUAGAAAUUGCUUAGAAAGAUUUUAUUCUUUUUUCCAUAUACAGUACAACUGUUAUUUUCAUUUUCUCUUUCCUAUAUUUUCUUUAAUUAAAGCAAGUACUGUUCUGUUACAAAACAACUAAUAAACAUUUUAUUAUUUUAACAGGUGAACCAUAUUUUACAUCAACUUGGGAAAAGCCAACUUGAAUUCCAUGGAAAUAUAUAAUCAUGUCAUCAAUUAGAUAGUAAACAAUCAUUAAGAAUUAGAUGGCCUCAAGAUUAUAUUUCACAUUGACCAACAUGAAAAUUUUUAAAUGGGAAUGAGUUGAUGGCAUUAUAGUUUUCUAAUGUUCAUCAAGGUGAAGAAACUCACUAUACCUUUCCCUGGUACAGAGCCAUGGUAGUAAUCUUAGAAUAUUUUCAUGAUGCCUCUAUUCAGUAGUUCUUUAACCAGUCUAGUAUUAUGACUGUAUUAUUUUAAAUAGCCUUGUUUGACUUUUGUAUUUUGUUUCUUUAAUAAUACAAUCAUUUACAAUGGUGAAAAUUACAGUUUAAUAUUUGUAUUUCUAAUGAUAAUUACUUGCACAUAUCCAUCACACUUCUCUGUUACUAUAUUACUACCAUGCAAGUAAAAUCUCUUGGGAAAAAUAAAAUGUUGUCCCAGGAUGGUCAUAAAUAUCAGCUAAUAAACCUAAUGAAUAUACCCAUAAUCAUGUACAUAUGACUAUCAUAUAAUAUGUUGUAAUUCCUUUGAGUGUUUCAAAUCAAAUAAAUUUUUAUUUUCAGUUGUUCAUUGUUCAAACUUAUUUGAAACCUACAGUAUAUGUAGUUGCUAUGAUUCAAAUUAAUAUCCAAAAGUGUGCCUUUUACUUCAGUCCUUAAUUAUAGACUCCACCCUAAUACAGACACUUUAUUGUGCCACUCCAAUGUUCAUUCAAAGUGAUCCAACUGACAUCUGAGCUGGUGAUAAUAUACAGCAAAGUAUUGGAACUUGGAGUAUAUCACAUAAGUUGUUCAUUCAGUCAAGACAUCCAGGUUGUGCUGAUCAUCAUAUCAAACUCCAUCACAUAUUGUGCCUUAAAAACAUAUAUACAAAUUUUAAAAGUUGUUGCAGCACACUGGGCAAUUCCAUUUAAUAUAGCCCCCCACACCCUAUUGAGGGGUCUCUUCAUAAUACUAUUACCUUAAACAUUUUGGAACCUCAUUGGAUGCAAUUUUGGAACCCCCAUGGAUAUCUUUCUACCCCUUUAGGAUAUUGUUCCUGCCCCUUUGGGUAUCACUAAAACACCUAAUUUUUUGGAAAUCUCUUAAGCUACCCUCCAGAAAAAUUUAAGGUAAAAUCCCCCUCUCUAAAAUCCCCAUAUAGGAUAUCCAGACCUCAAUAGUGGGGCUAUUUAUAGAUGGAAUGACCCAUUUGACUUGGUGAGUGGUGACUACCACCAAAGCAAAAUGAAAGCAUGCUGCCCUGCAUUACAUACUGUAGAAAACAAAUAAAUUUUGAAGCAUUUAUACUGUUACUUGUAAACGAUAAUCAGAAUUGAUCAGAAAAUUCUUU
rnacentral:lncRNA from 1 species